CAUAGAACUUCACGGUCCAUUAUACCAUUGUACAAGUAUUAGAUGGAUUUUCAUCAUAUGUAUAAUCAGGAAUUAAAAGGCCGGUGGCCACUUCUCUCGGACCAAGGAAUGGUAGGACUUGUGCCAGAGUUGAUGGCUAGCUACACAUUAGUCCUCUCAUUAUCCUACAUGCAGCAGGAAGAUAUACUCAAGGCAUAUAGCUCAUACCCAGAAUGCGGCGCUCUUUCCCUUACAUAUAGCCAACGCAAUAGUAGUAUUAAUGCUUGCAUGCAAAGACUAAGACUGACGGUCUUUUUAAAAAAGACGGACGAUUCAUCAUGGCCAACCUGAACGGAGGCAGAGACAUUUCAAUUAGUAAUUCAGUCUCGAACAUAUAUACACAGGCAUACCACAAGCUAUUAAAGAUUAGUAAUAAAAGACAGCCAAACAAUAUGGAAUUAGAGGUUCAGGUUUGUACUCCAUGUCCGUAAGGCCGGAAAUAUAGAUGAGCCUAAUGAUAUAUCAUAGCUCCAAAAAUUGAUGCACUUUAUUAAGACAUACCAGAAGAUAUUAAUAUAAACUUACUGGUAAGUUAUUGGAUGUAUGCGAUCGAGAUGCGUAUUUAAAUGAUAUAAAUAUUUUGUUAUUACAAACAUUUUUGUAAUGUUAGUGCAAGAUAAAAUCAAUCAUCUUUUCCUAUUUAUACUGAACGAUUUUACUUCACCAUAGCCCAUCUGUCCAUUAAUGUAUAUCGCUGGUGCAAAGAACCAAGCAUGUGACCCAACAUGGCUACAUCGUUUCUGAAUAUAUAAAUAGACAUUGUACAUAGACAUUGUAAUUACGACACGUUAUUAUUUCUUAGUUUUGCAGUCGUAAUCUCGUGUGGACCACGACAUUUGUGAUCAACGGUAUGCAUAGUAACUACUUGCAGUAUAUAUACGCGAUGAACAACCAACCAUGACUAAAUACAAUUGAUCCCGCAUAGCUUCAUCUCCGAAACCCUGCAACCAAAGCAAACCCUAAAACAGCCACCACAAAAUCCUGAAACCAACCACAGGAACCAGGGGCAAAGCUACGUGAGGGCAAACACGUGCUCCGGCCCGCCCAGCGUAGCAUCAUUUUCCUCGUUGUACACUUAGUUUUGGUAUGUGGAACGACAAUCAAGGGGUAAUCUCUAUAGAUUAGCCUGCAUGGCCCGCCCUACCUUUUGCUUGAAGCUCCGCCACUGACAGGAACCAUCAUGAUGAGGAGUGCCAUGCCACCUCUAAUGUGCCUUACUGCAGCCACACUGCCCAGGGCAUAUGUGCUGGCCGGCAAGGGUGGGCUCCUGCAUGUCCCUUCUGCUGCAGCACUGGCCCACUGCCCCUCGAGCUGCGGCAGAGUAAGCAUCAUCUAACCCUUCGGGGUAGGACGUGGUUGUUUUCGGGAAGGUUUUGAGCUCACAUGCAGCAACACCACUCAUCAUACUACUCACAACACCACCCAUCUUACUCACAAGCUAUUCUUCGGAGACCUACUUAUUCGAAUAUAACACCACGAAUCUCAUUGGUUUCUACUCAAGUAUGUGUGUGCAUAAUCCGAAUGCAAAAAAUCGAUUUGCAAAACAAAAAUCAACAUGGAAGGGGGGCAUAUGCCCCCCCCCCCUCUCCUCGGCGGACUUCACCAUGCUAUAUUUAUUCAACAAUUACUUAUAGUUGAAUACAUUAUAAUCAUUCUUUGCAUCAUAUAAUAACAUAUAGAUGAUUGUAUUGAGACUUUAUUUGCCAACUAUAAUCAUGUUUUACACAUAAAUGAUUGGUGGCUUUUCCUUCUAUUUAUCCGUAGGAACUUCUUGCUACAGAGUUCCUGUUGCCAUGUAGUUUUCCAAUAUAGAACCUUGGCCUGAACGAGUUCUACUAUAACUCGCAACGAAAGGCACUUCUGAGGUGGAAUAGCAUGGAUCAUAGAAUGUUAGUUAUGCUACCAAUCAUUCGCUUACUGAGUCACAUAACUCAAUCUUUAAUGUGUACGUCAGUUUAAAAUAUUUCAAAAAAUAAUUCAUAAAAACUCCUGUAACACAAGGAUCAAUCAAUUUCUUUAAUAAUGAACCAGUAGAAUGGGACCGAAGAACUUCUCCAAAUAAACCUUUCUCUAUCAAUGACAAAGUUAGCUUGCCAGAUUUGUAGCUCGGUUUGAAAAAUAUGUUGAUUUAAAGUUUAAAGACUAAAUGUAGAACUUCCCAUUUUUGAAUAUGUCCUAGAAAGCAUAGCAAUGGCAGACCGUGUAUGAAGACUUAAUAGGGCAGCUGAGAUAUCCUUCGCCUGGAGUUGGAUGGGAAGACCAUGGUUUGAAAUAAAGGCCAAACUGAUGGUAGAGAAAAGGACAAUUUAUUGAGCAAGAGAAAGCCUGGUUUUCCUUUCCCUUCAGUGUUAUCCCAUAUAGGGACAUCUUCAUCUUCCCUCGCCAUGUCAGUUAAAUGUUAAUAUGUAGAUGUUUUGAACUCAAAAUACCUUUCUACUCCCUCCUUCCCAUAAUAUUAGUGUAGUGUGAAAAACGUUGUUAUAUUAUGGGAUGGAGGGAGUAGGUCGCAACUUUGUUAUAUACUAAUCAAGUUAUACCUUUAAUCUAGGUAGUUGCUUCCCAUUUCAGUUUUCCCCUGAGUCCUAUUGUCUGUUGGUGCUUUAGGUUUUCAAUUGUUGGUUUCGAGCAUUCAGAAGAAAUUGUCCUAUUGCAGGAUUGGUGUAGAUCUAAUGGAUACAAUGACACGCAGUUCUGUCAAGCAUUAUCAUGGAGACUCUCUCUGGUAAAUGAUAACAUCAAGCAUAAAGUUGAAGAAAAACAAUUGUAGAACCACUCAGUGCAUGAUGAUGGCUUACUGAAAUGCAUGAAACUACAUAGUAAUACUACGGCUUACUGAGCAUUAGUCUUUCUUAGCUUGCUGAAUCGUGUAUCGAAAAAGUGGAAAGACUGAAGCUCAUUCACAUGUUACAUCAGUAUGUACAAUGUAUCAAAGGUGAUCUGAACACAUUGAAGAAGCACAUAGCGGCACGUGUGGAGAAGCUUAUCACAGCUGGAGAAAAGCGACUUAAACUUCAACUUCCAUGUGACUAUCUAGUUGUACAGCUAACACCAACUAUGUUUGCACUCUGGUAUCCAUCCCUGUUUUUCCUAUCCAAACACCUCAUUCCGAAUUGUCACUCGGGAGCAGGUGGGUCUCGGUAGAAUGCUAGCUCUGCUAAGGAUUUUAUGGGUUAACUGGAGACUAUGAACAAACUGCUAAGGUCUUCUUCUGAAUUCAGGACUGUAGUAACAGAGUCAUAGUAGGAGCUGAGGAAAAUAUGCAUUCUGUGGCCGAGCGACUGCCAAAAGAGAUGAGGAGAACGGGUCGUACCGAUAGGCUCGUUGCUACUCUGCUGUGCAAAUUUCGAACAAAAGAUGGAAAGAGAAAGUCGUUUCCU